GGGGGUGAUCGGUUUCGACUGGGGAUGUCGAUCCAGGGGAAGCGAGCCGAGGAACGCGGCAAUGAUCUCGUAAACCAUAUGUCGCAAACUAUAAUCGCCAACUCCAAGCGCGAUUCCUUCACCCUCGCCGCCUGAGCGAGUAACUGAAGGUGUCAGACCGGGCGUGUUCCCGUCCCGGACCCUGGCAUAAUCUAGGGAACUCCACCGUCGCAUCCGGUCACGGGAUACGGCGGGAAAUCAAACAGUGACUGAGCCUGUCGGCGGCUUGUCCGCGUGACUGCCGGGGCCGAGAAAAGCACAGCGGACUGCGCUCGGAGAAGCCCUGGUUUUGCACCACAGGACGCGGGUUCGAUUCCCGCCACCUCCACCA
rnacentral:tmRNA from 1 species